GGCAGCUUAAUGCAGUGGUUUGAAUGUUAGACUAGGAUUCUGGGAGACCAGGAUUCAAAUUCCUGCUCAGCCA
rnacentral:tRNA from 1 species